CUUCUUGAAAUACUAAGAAGUCAUACCUGCCCAUUGAUUUUUUUUAAAGGCCGCGGUAUAACUGACCGUGCAAAGGUAGCAUAAUCAUUAGUUUUUUAAUUGAAAACUGGAAUGAAUGGUUUGACGAAAUAAUAUCUGUCUCUGUAUUAUUAAUUGAAUUUUACUUUUAAGUUAAAAGGCUUAAAUUAUGACAGGGGACGAGAAGACCCUAUAGAUUUUAAUUAUUAUAAUUAAUGGACUUUAAUGGAUGGUGAAUUGUUUUUUAGUUGUAAUAAUUUAGUUGGGGUGACUAGAGAAUAAAAAAACUUCUUUUUUAUGAACGUUGAUUUAUGAAUAAUUAAUCCUUUAUUAUGGAAUUGAGAUUAAAAUACCUUAGGGAUAACAGCGUUAUUUUAUUUGAGAGAUCUUAUCGACAAUAAAGAUUGCGACCUCGAUGUUGGAUUAAAAAUAAAUGUUAAUGUAGGAGUUAAUAUUUUUGGUCUGUUC
rnacentral:rRNA from 1 species